GGUUCCAUGGUCUAGUUGGUUAUGACAUGGCCUUUACACGGCCAUGGUCUCCGGUUCGAACCCGGAUGGAAUCA